AAUUGAAGAGUUUGAUCAUGGCUCAGAUUGAACGCUGGCGGCAGGCCUAACACAUGCAAGUCGAGCGGAAACGAGUUCACUGAACCUUCGGGGAACGUGAACGGCGUCGAGCGGCGGACGGGUGAGUAAUGCCUGGGAAAUUGCCCUGAUGUGGGGGAUAACCAUUGGAAACGAUGGCUAAUACCGCAUAAUAGCUUCGGCUCAAAGAGGGGGACCUUCGGGCCUCUCGCGUCAGGAUAUGCCCAGGUGGGAUUAGCUAGUUGGUGAGGUAAGGGCUCACCAAGGCGACGAUCCCUAGCUGGUCUGAGAGGAUGAUCAGCC
rnacentral:rRNA from 1 species